UACGGGGGUGGCAAGCGUUGUUCGGAAUUACUGGGCGUAAAGGGCUCGUAGGCGGUCAACUAAGUCAGACGUGAAAUCCCUCGGCUUAACCGGGGAACUGCGUCUGAUACUGGAUGGCUUGAGGUUGGGAGAGGGAUGCGGAAUUCCAGGUGUAGCGGUGAAAUGCGUAGAUAUCUGGAGGAACACCGGUGGCGAAGGCGGCAUCCUGGACAAAUCCUGACGCUGAGGAGCGAAAGCCAGGGGAGCAAACGGG
rnacentral:rRNA from 1 species